UUUUUUUUAACGCUGAUAAGUGUCGUCACCGCUACAACCAGAUGCGGACAAUGUGAAGCCCACGGACAGAGAUAUAGGGGACAUUAUCGAUUCCAGAUGACAAACGGCUGUUUACGUUAUAAUUGCAUCUGUAACUGUAAUGGUAGCUGGAAUUGCCCUCGACAGCGUCCAACCAAUGUGUGUUCUGGUUGAAAUGAGGGUGGGUCCAAUUCAAAUUGCAAAACUUGUAAAAGAGAUGGAAGAACGUACCAGGGAAACAGUCGUUUCCAAUUUACAAAUGGCUGCUAUCGGUUUAACUGUGACUGCAACUGUGAUGGAAGUUAUAUACUGUCCAUUAAGCAAGACGCAAAACAUUUGUUGAAAUGUUUUGUCAUUUGAUCGUCUUUGAAUUAUCUCGAUUAAAUAUAAAUAAAAGGCUGAUCUGAACG
rnacentral:lncRNA from 1 species